CAGGCAGACCGUCUCAUCGUCUUAAUUUUAUAAUUAAGGAGGAAAGUCCGGACACCAUAGGGGAGCAUAGCGGCUAACAGCCGUCAAUACGUAUUCGUAUGAGGACUAGUGCAGCAGAAAGGAUGUACAGGUAAUGCUGUAGUGAAAUCAGGUAAACUCUAUGCGGUGCAAUGCCAUGUAAACCUACAAUUGAGGGUUCCCGUCCAAUGUAGGAGGGUAGGCAGAUAAAAAAAAUUGGCAACAAUUUUUUUAGAUAAAUGAUGAGAAUUAGCUUUUGCUAUUACAGAAUCCGGCUUAUAGGUCUGCUUUUUUA
rnacentral:RNase_P_RNA from 1 species